rnacentral:lncRNA from 1 species
AAUAUGAAUAGCAUUCCAAUACGGCUACACACUGAUCGUGGCGCCGCCGCGCGUACGUUAAAGCCGGACGGGAGAAAGCCCAAGCCGCUGUACAAGUUGUGUUGAGAAAGAGAGCAGCGUAUAUUCGAGAAUAGACCGAACGGACAGAAGUGGCAACCAUCAUAAAUGGCGUUCAAAAGGAGGCGCCAUAUUGGCCCUGUACUGGGAGAAGGAUCGAUGCGUCCCGAGAGGUUAUACAUGUACCUGCGUUAACUGGAUCAAAAACUUGACGCCUUCGAGAUAAUCCUACUGAAUGUGUACAUGCCAACAUGAAACACCACGGACUCCAGACACCUCUAUCACGCUCUUCUAGAUGAGGUCACACACCACAUCUCGAAGACUUCCCCUACAUCAAGCUUAAAAUUGGACCAAAAAUGCCGAAGAAUGUAUCAGAUCAUCUUCCCAAGCACAGCCUCCGAACAAGCAACUAUGAGCAAGAACCAGCAGCAGUAUGGUUCUAAACUAAGAAGAUUCAAGGUCAAAUGGACGGAUCUCUCCAAGGAGGACAUUAAUAACAGGUACACAACUCCCCUUGAAGAAGCCUGCAAGUAUCUAUGGUACCAGUUACCUGCUGACCCACGUUGCCUUACUGCAAGACACGGAUAACAGGUUCUCGAAGACCUCACAGACGUUAUCCUGACCAUCUCCAGAGACAACCUCCCACACUCCUACUCCUCAGCUCGCAAGCUUCAAAGACCGGAGUGGUCAAAGGAAGUAGACGUGGCGUACAUGCAAAUGAAACAGAUGUGGAAAGUCUGCAAGGACAAAGGUCGCCCCAAAGACCGUAACAACAGCACUUGGAAGUCCUACAAGGAAGCCAAACGUAUCUUUAGACGUAAGAUGAGGCGGAGCAGGAUUGUUAUACACAACAAUAACUUGAUUGAGGAGAUCGAAGCGUCUCAAACUGAUGAUCCGCAACAGAUACUCUAAAAGGAGAAUACCACAGCUAGCACAUCGAAUAGCUGAUGAGAAGGAAACCAUAGCUAAAGAGGUAAAUAUUGCAUCUGACUCUGACAAUGAGGAUCCACCAAUCACCUUCAAUUUCAUAGAUCUUCACACAGCAAUACAAGCCCUCAAAUCCAAGAAGGCUGGAGGUCUUGAUCAGGUCGCGCCGUCAUGAACACCUUUUGCAGACAUACCCAUGUACCUCAGAGCUUUAAAGGAGGCAUAGUUAUUCCUAUCCACAAGGGGAAAGGGAAACCGCUCACAGAUCCAGAAAACUACCGGGGAAUAACACUUACCUCUGUCUUCUGCAAGGUCUUCGAGUUGCUCCUCAAGCCUGGCCUAGAGCAGUCUCUACUCCAACAGGGUAUCCCAGACACCCCCAAUCUGGCUUUCAGAAAGAAACUCUUGCAUCAUGACAGCGCUUUCCCUCAACCUUGUCAUACAGAUUAACUCUUCAAAGCGGCUUGAUACUCAAAUCGCCUUCUUGGAUGCAACCAAGGCUUUCGACACCGUCUGGCAUAAUGGUCUCUUUCACAAGCUCCUGAAGGCUGGUAUCCAAGGAAACCUGUGGAAAAUCCUGAGGAAUCUGUACAGGGGACUUGAAAGCAUGGUCUUAUGGUAGGGGAGUCUCAGCCAUCCCUUUCCUGUCUCCCAAGGGGUACGACAAGGUGGGAAUCUCUCCCCAUGCUU